GAGUUUGAUCCUGGCUCAGAACGAACGCUGGCGGCGUGCCUAACACAUGCAGGUCGAACGUGAUCCAGAGCUUGCUCUGGUGAAAGUGGCGCACGGGUGAGUAACGCGUGGAUAACCUACCCUGGUAUCCGGGAUAACAUUCCGAAAGGGGUGCUAAUACCGGAUAAGCCCACGGGCUCUUUGGAGCUUGCGGGAAAAGGUGGCCUCUAUUUAUAAGCUACUGUAUCAGGAUGGGUCCGCGUACCAUUAGCUAGUUGGCGGUGUAACGGACCACCAAGGCGACGAUGGUUAGCUGGUCUGAGAGGAUGAUCAGCCACACUGGAACUGAGACACGGUCCAGACUCCUWCGGGAGGCAGCAGUGGGGAAUUUUGCGCAAUGGGGGAAACCCUGACGCAGCAACGCCGCGUGAGUGAUGAAGGCCUUUGGGUCGUAAAGCUCUGUCAGAGGGGAAGAAAUGAUAUAGUGCUAAUACCACUUUGUCUUGACGGUACCCUCAAAGGAAGCACCGGCUAACUCCGUGCCAGCAGCCGCGGUAAUAC
rnacentral:rRNA from 1 species